UAAAAAAAAUACGGUUCUCAUUGAACAGUUACUUUAUGAUAUACUGUCUCCGCCCAUCAGUCUCUCACUCCCUCCAUCAGUCCCUCUCCCUCCAUCUCUCUCCCUAUCCCUGCUUUGUUUCAGACCUCUGGUGAGAUCACUGCCAAGCCAGCAGGUGUUUCAGAAUGUUAUGAGUAGACAUGACGUUCUCUUUGUCUACGUUGGUGGGCCGUCGGACUUGAAGGAGAAGUACAUAUCUGUAGCCAAGGGAAUGAUUGUUCAUACUUACUUCUUCUCUGCCGCAAGGAACAUUUUACCCAAGACGGUUACUCUCGAGGAAUACCCGGCUGUGGCAGUGUUCAAGGAUGGCACUUACUUCCUUUAUGAUG